GGCUCCCGCCCGGCGCCUCAGGCCACGCCCCCAAGGGGAGCUGCCAAUCACCGGUGGGGCUGUCUUGCCCGUGCUGUCUCGCCCGAGCAAUCUCCGGGCUGGCUGCGCGCGAGAAGGUCGCAGCGGUCUUGCCACCGGUGUCAUUGUCCCUGCAGGGCGGGGGCGACGUCUGCCCGUGUCUCUUUUCAGACCGUGCCCAGGGCACCUCUGGCCCUAACCCAGCGUCGUCUGUUCGGCGGCCCCGCGGCACUUUAGGUCCCGGCCUCAGCGCGCGCCCGGCCUCCCUCGACCGCCACGAGGCGGCGUCAGGUCGGACCCGGUCCUGCGAUGCGCACGGUCAGCAGUGGUCACCCCUGUUCAUUGCCCAUCAUGCAGACCACCUCGGGCGGGUCCGCGGGCACCCUUUGAGCCCAUGACAGCACCAGUGCCGGAGCUAGGCAGCUGAAAGUUCAGGCUUGUGUUGUGAAGCCUCCUCAAGCAUAAAAUGAAAAGGCCAACCCCGUUGGGACCAGUGUGGUCACCUGCCAGAGUGGCUUGAGGAGAGGGCACAUACGGUUGAGGGGAGCCCUGGUGAAGAAGGGACAUGAUGAGUGGAGGGAGCCAUGUUGGCGCUUUUCAAAGAAGCAGCAUGAUUGUGUGUGAAGGUAACUAUGGCAACAAGGUGGAAGACCACUGUCUGAGCCUGGAGGGAGCAGGACUUACUAGGAAGCUAAUGCAGUCAGGUAGGGC